GUGCUCGCUUUAGCAGCACGUAUACUAAAAUAGGAGCAAUACCUAGAAAUUAGCAUGUCUUCUGUGCAAAGAUGAUAUGCAAGAAAAGAGGGACUUUUCUAGUUCUU
ensembl:snRNA U6 U6 spliceosomal RNA